rnacentral:misc_RNA from 1 species
GUAUAUAUCAGACUCUACCAAAGCAAUGAGUAAACUAAUGCGAUCGUCAUCUGUUACUUCAUUGUUGCCAUGAUAAUCCUCGUACAGUUCCCGCACCAUUUGUUCAUGGCCAGCCAAAGCCGCCAAAUAAAUUGGUAAGCAAUUUUGUCUACCUCGGAUCCUUGGCAAAUCAUUCUUCUUAUCCUUCAUAAUUUUAGCAAUUUUCACAUUUCCAGAAAUAGCAGCAUAACAAAAAGCUGUAUUUCCUUGCUCCUCUGGUUCUGUUGCUGGGUCUUGUGAUUGUGGAACUCGGUCCCGUGGAUGUAGGGCUGCAGCUGCAUCUUGGAUUG